rnacentral:lncRNA from 1 species
CUUGGCCACGCUGAUCCCAGCCCAGCUGGGCUGCUGCCUCCUCUGAGCAGGAUGCUUGCGGCUGGGAAUGAGGGGAAGAAAGGGUCGGCUCUUUCUUUUCAGCUCCUUCUUGUCUCCAUCUCUUUAUGGCUGCCAUGUCAGGAAGUUCAGUCCCCGGGUGGUGAACCACCAUUUUAUAGAUCAUAUGAACAAUGCCUCUGGAGUUGUGCAACACGGUUGUUCUGAACACAGAGUAUAGAUUCUUGGCAAGUAUUUGUUGGAUGAAGGAAUGGAGGACUGGCUAGACGCCUCACUGGUA